rnacentral:sRNA from 1 species
AUGGGCCACCCUGCAUUACCAGGACAGGCCUUUCCAAAAUUUAGGCCUGAAAUCUUUGGGUGUGUGAAGCUCUGACCCCCAGAUUCCCUGCUCGGGGACACCUCCUGCAUCUCCCCCUUGAGAUUGACCCUGGAAAGUCAAAGCUGAGCUGGCAGCUGAGGAGCAAGUGGCUCCAGAAUUCAGAAAAGAGCCCUCUCCCCAGCCCCAUGAGCUGGUGCCUGAGUGGGCGCCUCCCCGCAUCUCCUGCUCUUCCUCAUCUGCCGGGUGCCAGGCACAGUGUGCUGAAGGCCAACCCAGCCGGUUCAUGCCACCCACUUUACAGAUGAAGAAACUGAGGCAUGGGGGAGCCAAAUGGCUGGUCCCUGGCUCUCAAGAGCAGUGGGGCAGGGAUGUCACCUGGAAGCCCUUUGCUCCAGGCACUGCAUUGCUGUAGGGACUGGGGGCAUCCCGGCCUUCCCAGUGGGGUAACGUGUUGAGGUUCAGGGAGCCACAGGGAUGGGCAGCUCCAAAUGGGGUCUUCCCAGUUUCAAAGGGGCUCACGCCAGUGUCCCAGGAAAUGCCGUCCCUGAGCGGGGAUCUCUGCCAUGCCCCAGGACGGUGGAAAUCAACAACACGGACGCCGAGGGCAGGCUGGUGCUGGCAGAUGGCGUGUCCUAUGCUUGCAAGGACCUGGGGGCCGACAUCAUCCUGGACAUGGCCACCCUGACCGGGGCUCAGGUGAGUGUUCCCUGGAUCCACCCCUUAGCUGUGGUCCCAGGAAACCCCACCCACCUCUUGACCUUGAGGUGGGGAAGGCAGCGAGUGGGGGCUGCCGUCAGGAAGUGUUCAUAACUGGGCACAAGGAGGCAGGAGGAGCUGCCCAUCAAGCUUGGUGUGGGCAGUGCCGAGGCCCAGGCUGGACGCAGAGCCGGGAACCACCUCCUGCGUGCUUCAUGGCCACGGUCCUUCCUGCCUGUGUUUUUUCUUUUUUUCUCAACUUUCUCUCUUCUGGCUCCCUUCUUUCUCUGUCUGCCUCUUGGUCCCUCUUUUGUCUUGGGUGUUUCUCUCCUGCCGUCCCGUCCACACGCUUCCCGGGUUCCUGCCCGCCCAGGGCAUUGCCACAGGGAAGUACCACGCCGCGGUGCUCACCAACAGCGCUGAGUGGGAGGCCGCCUGCGUGAAGGCAGGCAGGAAGUGUGGGGACCUGGUGCACCCAUUGGUCUACUGCCCUGAGCUGCACUUCAGCGAGUUCACCUCAGCCGUGGCUGACAUGAAGAACUCAGUGGCGGACCGAGACAACAGCCCCAGCUCCUGUGCUGGCCUCUUCAUCGCCUCACACAUCGGCUUCGACUGGCCUGGAGUCUGGGUCCACCUGGACAUUGCUGCACCGGUGCAUGCCGGUGAGCGAGCCACAGGCUUCGGCGUGGCCCUCCUGCUGGCGCUCUUCGGCCGUGCCUCCGAGGACCCUCUACUGAACCUGGUGUCCCCGCUGGGCUGUGAGGUGGAUGUCGAGGAGGGGGACGUGGGGAGGGACUCCAAGAGACGCAGGCUUGUGUGAGCCUCCUGCCUCGGCCCUGACAAACGGGGAUCUUUUACCUCACUUUGCACUGAUUACUUUUAAGCAAUUGAAAGAUUGCCCUUCAGAUGGGUUUUGGUUUGUCUUUCUGGUCGUCAGCGUGGUGGUGGAAACAGCUGAAGUUUUAGGAGACAGCUUAGUGUUUGGUGCGGGCCACGGGGAGGGGACCAGGAAGCGCUGGGGCUUGUUUCUGUUUGUUACUUACAGGACUGAGACAUCUUCUGUAAACUGCUACCCCUGGGGCCUUCUGCACCCCAGGGUGAGGCCUCCUGCCUGCCUGGUGCCCUGUCCCAGCCCCAGGUCCCGUGCAGGGCACCCGCGUGGCUGACAGCCAGGCUCUUACUCCAGCCGGGGCUGCCAGCGCAUCCAGCCAGCCCAGCCCUGUGAGAGAUGGAGCUGACUUACUGCAGGGGACCCGAUUGAUAGGGCAAGAGAAGUCACACUCUGGCCUCUCAGAAUUCACUUGAGGUUCAAUUAAAUACAGUCACACCACCCCCUCA